rnacentral:rRNA from 1 species
UACAGAGGGUGCAAGCGUUAAUCGGAAUUAUUGGGCGUAAAGGGCUUGUAGGCGGUUCUUUAAGUUAGAUGUGAAAACCCUGGGCUCAACCUGGGACGUGCAUUUAAUACUGAAGAGCUAGAGUAUAGGAGAGGAGUGGGGAAUUCCUGGUGUAGCAGUGAAAUGCGUAGAGAUCAGGAGGAACAUCUGUGGCGAAGGCGCCACUCUGGCCUAAUACUGACGCUGAGGAGCGAAGGCGUGGGGAGCAAACAGG